rnacentral:lncRNA from 1 species
AUUAAGGGGACGACAUGUCGACCCGUUCUUCCACUGCUCUAUAUGGCUCUGCUAUACUCCCUCAGAUCUAGCUUUGGCCAACGAAAAACAAAAUUUGAAUCAAGUUCAUGCACUAUAAAAAAUUGAUAUUCGACAAUAAAAACACGAACUUAAAGAUGCCCAGCUUUAUGUGGCAAGGCAACUUACCCAAUCGGGCAGGCAAGAAAAACGUUUACUUGCCCGUCAUGAUAUUCACUUGCCUCGGGCAAGCGGGCAAGUGUUAAGUUACACCCCUG